rnacentral:ncRNA from 2 species
UGAUACUACUAGGGGAGCCUGAAUGGGCUGAGAGGGGAGCAAUGGAGCUUCCUGACUCUUACGAACCUGAUCUGGGUCAUACCAGCGGAGGGAAGUAGUCAGGCGAUACG